ACUUUGAAAGAAGGGGAGAAAUAGAAAACGCAAGUAUUGAUGCAUUCGGUGCCGCCCCUAUCAUUUUCUUCGUAAAUCAUGAUUUUUUUUUAAUGUCCAAACGUCACUACUCAUGAUUAUGCAUCUACGACAUGCUAUGUUAACUUCAUUGUAAAUGGCCAAAUAUAAUGAAGCAACAAGAUUCAGCCGAACUAAACUUAGUUGAAAUAUUCGUUUAAGGUUAAAAAAUCAACAUAAUUGGAAUUUACAUAUUUUUUUUAUAAAUUGAAUAUUUUGUGUACUCAACGGAAGAGAUUAAUUCUUCAAAAUGGAGAAGGUUAUAAUAGACAACAAAAUUUUCUCUUAAGAAAUUUAACUCUAGUGCAUUACUUGAUCUAUAAUGAAUUGUUAAAUGCUUAAUUUUUUGUCUUACGCGAGUUGAAGUAGAUAAUUGUCGAAUGAAUUAGCUUCGACAUAAUUGAAUUUAA
rnacentral:lncRNA from 1 species